CACAGUAGGUCUUGUUUAAAGCUUGACUGAUCUUGACUGAUCUCAGAAGCCAAGCAGGGCCAGGCUUGGUUAGUGCUUGGAUGGGAGAUCACUGGGAAUAUCAGGUGCCACAGUGG
rnacentral:rRNA from 1 species